rnacentral:rRNA from 1 species
GACGAACGCUGGCGGCGUGCUUAACACAUGCAAGUCGAACGGAAAGGCCCUGCUUUUGUGGGGUGCUCGAGUGGCGAACGGGUGAGUAACACGUGAGUAACCUGCCCUUGACUUUGGGAUAACUUCAGGAAACUGGGGCUAAUACCGGAUAGGAGCUCCUGCUGCAUGGUGGGGGUUGGAAAGUUUCGGCGGUUGGGGAUGGACUCGCGGCUUAUCAGCUUGUUGGUGGGGUAGUGGCUUACCAAGGCUUUGACGGGUAGCCGGCCUGAGAGGGUGACCGGCCACAUUGGGACUGAGAUACGGCCCAGACUCGUACGGGAGGCAGCAGUGGGGAAUAUUGCACAAUGGGCUGAAGCCUGAUGCAGCAACGCCGCGUGCGGGAUGACGGCCUUCGGGUUGUAAACCGCUUUCGCCUGUGACGAAGCGUGAGUGACGGUAAUGGGUAAAGAAGCACCGGCUAACUACGUG